UCCAGCUGUUCUAACACCUCCUGCCUGCCAGUACUGACUCUUUAUGCAUGGGGGCUUCCGGCUUAUCUAUACUUCGAAGACAGUGAACUAGGUUAACCAGAUAUAGGACUCCUCUGUCUUGCUACGAUGGACAGCCACAAGGAUUCACUUGAAUAAAAGAAGCAACAGUGGGUGCCAGGCUGUUUGAAAUGUGCUGUUUUGUUAUACAUUUAUUACAAAGAAUCUCACAAAAAGAAAAUAUUUCAAAAAGAAUGCCAGGCUAAAGAACCUCCACCUGGAGAACUGGGGGAAGGCAGGGCAAUGUAAGUUCUUCUGCCUGCCCAAGACCUGUGGAAGAUAUAAACAGAACCAGUCUAAAAAUGGCUGAUAUUACCCAAGCCUGAAAAGGGCUCACAGAACACCAAGUCACCCCUGCUAGAAAGCUUAAUCAGGGCAUCUUAACAGAGCUCCUAAGCAGGCUUGGCAGUUCAGGAUUUUGUCUUCUGGUUGUUUUCUUUUCCACUUAGAAUAUCAACGUCAACAUACAGCACCCUCUGGCCAUACUUUAGCAGUUCCAGGAUGGCCAAGACGACAUCGUUGAUGUAACAGAAACCUGAGGCGUCAGACUUCUUUACAUGAUGCAGUCCCCCAGCCUGGCUCGCAGUGAUGUCCCUCUGAUGUGUAUCAAGUUUCACAGCACUUUCCAAAGAGCCACCAAUAGACAACUGACAACUCAGACAGGCCAUCGAUUACCGGGAAGUCCUCACCAACGCGGAAUCUCUGCAUCUGCUUGCUGUAUUUAGACACAUUAUCUGGGCGAAUAGAGCACAAGAGUUUAAUGUAGUCAUCACUGUGGGACUUGGUCAUCUCCUCAGCGUUGGCUCUGUGAGGACGAUAGAUUUCCAUUUUUUGGUAGAGAUGUAGUUGAGCUGCAAAUCACGAGUCAUGUGGAUUCGGUGAGGCUUCAUUGGGUGGCCCUGUCCAUAAGAUAGUUUCCAACAUCCCUGUUAACAGACGUUCCUCUUGCCCUGAGUCUGUGCCAUCUUUCUCACCACCCAGUGCUCCUGCCAGUCUGAUGUUUUAAUAUUUUUAGAUGGUGAUGCUUUGAGUUUAAAUGGCCUUUGACAAAUUCUAUCCUAAUUUCUAAUUAAGACAAGGAAAGAAAACAAAGAUGGAUAAGGACCAUAAAGUAAUGAAUGGACUGGAAACAGAAGUAAACUUAUUCAACAAUAAAA
rnacentral:lncRNA from 1 species